rnacentral:rRNA from 1 species
UACGAAGGGGGGCUAGCGUUGCUCGGAAUUACUGGGCGUAAAGGGCGCGUAGGCGGCUCUGUUAGUCAGAUGUGAAAUCCCCGGGCUCAACCUGGGAACCGCAUUUGUGACUGCAGGGCUAGAGUACGGUAGAGGGGGAUGGAAUUCCGCGUGUAGCAGUGAAAUGCGUAGAUAUCAGGAGGAACACCAAUGGCGAAGGCAGCUCACUGGGCCUUACCUGACGCUCAGGCACGAAAGCGUGGGGAGCAAACAGG